AUUAUCUGGGUAUUACAGCUAUCACAAAUAAAGCAGUGAAUGCUAAUGGUGAUGGUUUAAGAAAUGGAAACAAGAGAUAAAAGGACAGUGCCACGCAAUCAUUUCCCCUAAAGACCUAGCCUCCAAGUGUCUGGAAAAGAACAUGACCUGCUUGUGAUGUCAACAAUAGCAGGUGACUCAACAGCUUCUCAUGUGUCAUAGAGCAGCGGAGUGUUCCGCCUGGCUGCACACUAGAGUCACCUGGCUGCUGUUAAAAUAAGCAGGAGCCCAGGCCCCAACCCCAUGGAUUGUGAUUUAAUUGGUCUGGAGUAGGGCCCUGGGCAUUGGUAUUUUUUAAAAGCUUAAUCCUGGAGGAUUCUAAAGAGCAGCCAGGGUUAAGAAUCAAGGUCAUGGAAAUGCCAUGAUUAACGAACAAUUCAGUGGCAGUUCAAUGGCAAAUCAACAUGAAAUGGAUCCUUCCAUGUCAGUGCUUUCUUUUACCAACUCUUGGAGCAGUAAUUCUCAACCCUCUAUUCUCAUUCGAGUAACCUGUGGAAUUCUUUAUAAAUACCAACGCCAUGCCUCUGCCCCAGAGCUGCGCUGAGAGAUGCUUUGAGCUAAGAGAUGCACAGCAGUGUUUUGUCCCUGCAGAAAUGUGGGUAUCCUAACAAACGCCUUUUAGGAUACUUGGAGAAUUGUACUAAUUCAAUAUAUCCUUGCCUUUUGAUUUGCCAUUCUUUGAAGAGACUUUUCGAUGUGUGACUUUGCCUCUUUGUCUCCGUGGUUACUUGGUAGCUUCGCUCAGAAUUUGUUCACUCAUCCAUUCAUUCAAUAAAUAUUUAUUGCACAUCUACUUUGGGCCACUGAACAGCACCAUUUAUUAUUUCCUACCACAUUGAUCUACUUUCUUCAAAUAUGUUUGAGUGAUACACACUAUACUAUAUCUAUGACAUUUCUUCCUGCCACCCUGCUUAGGAUUAGUUCACUAAUCAAAAGAUGUUUAAGUAAAGAAACUAGUAAAAAGGUAGAAUAAACAGCAUAAAAUUUUAACUGGGUAGAUAUUUUUGGAUAUUAGAAAGUAGGUCAACCAUGUAUAGUGAAGUAUCUUCUGUUGUUUUGAGAUACAGAUACCUAGUACAAUUUUUUGAGCAAAUUAUUUAGGCUAAAUUAUUUUAAGCUAAAAAUUUGUAUUGCAAAUACCAUAUGAUACGGUUUGAUGGUAGAGAAGCUGAAUACACAUUAUAAAAAAUUGAAUGGAACUGGAGUGAGUUUUGUAAAGGCAGAACACUUUCCAUACUCUGCCCCUUCCCCACUCUCUGGUGAGUAUCAGAUAUUAUCUCCCCAAGACAAAACAGCCUGCAGUGGCCAGACAUUUCAUAAUGGCUUUUCUGUUGCUCAUGACUAAUUGCUUUAGAAGGCCUCUAUAAUUCCUGAAUCCCUCUUAUGGGAACCCAACCCUCAGACUUGUGAAAUUUAGCUCUUUGGGAAAUUCAAAGCCAAAUAUUGAGCUCAAGGCCAAAGUACAGUAUAAAUUGUGGAAUAUCAAAGCAAGCAAGGUACCAAAAAAAUCCAUUAAAGAGAAAUUAAUCUUAGUGAAUUAUAAUUUUAAAAUCUUCUCUAGAAGUUUCCUUCUCUGUGUCAGGCUCAAAUAGGUUGACCACUGUAUUAAUGUACUAGGGCUGCCAUAACAAGGUGCCACAGACUAGAUGGCGUAAAAUGACAGUAAUUUAUUCUCUCACAGUUCUGGAGGCUGAAAGUCUGAGAUCCAGGUGUUGGCAGGGCCAUGUUCUCUCUGAAACCUGUGGGGGAUGCUUCCUUGCCUCUUCCUAGCUUCGGUGGUUUGCUGGCAACCUGUGGCAUCUCUGUCUUGCAGCUGCCUCACUCCAGUGUCUGCCUGCUUCAUCACAUGACAUCGUCCCUGUGUGUCUCUCUCACAUGUUGUCUUCCUACAAGGACACCAGCCAUUUUGGAUUAGGGGCCGCCCUACUCCAGUAGGACCUCAUCUUAACUAAUUACAUCUCAAACAACCCCAUUCCCAAAUGUCACAUUCUGAGGUACUGCGCGUUAAAACUUCAACAUAUCUUUUCUGGGGGUGGACCCAAUUCAAACUAUAGCAGGGAUACUAUGUAACAGGCAGUAAAAUGUUCUGAGAUUCAUUGAGUAAAACGGUCUCUGUAGCCACUAUUAUUCCAAGGGCCCCAACUGACUAGCCCUAGUGGGAAGAAAGUUUCUGGAACUAGCAACACCACUAGUUUUUUAAAAAAGGGAGUGUGAUUUUAUAGAUUCUUGAUCUGAGACAAAGAUGUAGUGUUAUGUAGCAGAUCUCUAGGAAGCAAUGAUAUUUAAUAUUUCUAGAAUUAAAUAGGCUGAUAACUUUAUAAAAGAAGAACAGGAAUAAUUUAGAAGUUUAUAUGUAAAUCAUAUAUCUGAUAAGGGGUUCAUAUAUGGAGUAUAUAAAGAACUUCUACAACUCUAUAACAAAAAAACCAAAUAACUUGAUUAAUAAAUGAGCAUAAAAAGAUGCUAGACAUCAUGAAUCAUUAGGGAAAGGCAAAUCAAAGUCACAGUGAGAUUUUACCUCACACACUUUAGGAUAGCCACUAUCAAAACAGAAAGUAACCAUAACAGAAGGUGUUGGUGAGGAUGUGGAGAAGCUGGAACCCUAG